rnacentral:rRNA from 2 species
AGUUUGAUCCUGGCUCAGGACGAACGCUGGCGGCGUGCCUAAUACAUGCAAGUCGAGCGGAUUGAUGGGAGCUUGCUCCCUGUUAUCAGCGGCGGACGGGUGAGUAACACGUGGGUAACCUGCCUGUAAGACUGGGAUAACUCCGGGAAACCGGGGCUAAUACCGGAUAACUCAUUUCCUCGCAUGAGGAAAUGUUGAAAGGUGGCUUCGGCUAUCACUUACAGAUGGACCCGCGGCGCAUUAGCUAGUUGGUGAGGUAACGGCUCACCAAGGCAACGAUGCGUAGCCGACCUGAGAGGGUGAUCGGCCACACUGGGACUGAGACACGGCCCAGACUCCUACGGGAGGCAGCAGUAGGGAAUCUUCCGCAAUGGACGAAAGUCUGACGGAGCAACGCCGCGUGAGUGAUGAAGGUUUUCGGAUCGUAAAGCUCUGUUGUUAGGGAAGAACAAGUGCCGUUCGAAUAGGGCGGCACCUUGACGGUACCUAACCAGAAAGCCACGGCUAACUACGUGCCAGCAGCCGCGGUAAUACGUAGGUGGCAAGCGUUGUCCGGAAUUAUUGGGCGUAAAGCGCGCGCAGGUGGUUCCUUAAGUCUGAU